rnacentral:rRNA from 1 species
CCUACGGGUGGCAGCAGUGAGGAAUAUUGGUCAAUGGACGAGAGUCUGAACCAGCCAAGUAGCGUGAAGGAUGACUGCCCUAUGGGUUGUAAACUUCUUUUAUAUGGGAAUAAAACAGGGUAUGCAUACCCUCUUGUAUGUACCCUAUGAAUAAGGAUCGGCUAACUCCGUGCCAGCAGCCGCGGUAAUACGGAGGAUCCGAGCGUUAUCCGGAUUUAUUGGGUUUAAAGGGAGCGUAGGUGGAUUGUUAAGUCAGUUGUGAAAGUUUGCGGCUCAACCGUAAAAUUGCAGUUGAAACUGGCAGUCUUGAGUACAGUAGAGGUGGGCGGAAUUCGUGGUGUAGCGGUGAAAUGCUUAGAUAUCACGAAGAACACC